CGGACGGGUGAGUAACACGUGGAUAACCUACCUAUAAGACUGGGAUAACUUCGGGAAACCGGAGCUAAUACCGGAUAAUAUAUUGAACCGCAUGGUUCAAUGGUGAAAGACAGUUUUGCUGUCACUUAUAGAUGGAUCCGCGCCGCAUUAGCUAGUUGGUAAGGUAACGGCUUACCAAGGCAACGAUGCGUAGCCGACCUGAGAGGGUGAUCGGCCACACUGGAACUGAGACACGGUCCAGACUCCUACGGGAGGCAGCAGUU
rnacentral:rRNA from 1 species